CACACUUAACGAUCUUCCUAGUCAUUCUACCAUCAUUGCUGAUAAGUUAGUAUAGCUUCCUUACAAUUUUCUGAUCAUCAGGGGGGUACGAAACCAUGGAGGAGCUAUUGGAGAAGAUAACAUAGUUUAAAAUUGGAAUUCACAACAAACAUGGAAGCAACCGAGCACAAUAGAUAGGAGAGUUACAAGAGUUCAUAAUGACAUGAAGAGAAAAAAGAGGAAACCAUAGCUAUAAUUUUUCCAUGGUUUAGGAUAUUUGAUUUUUCCCAUCUAAAUGUAGUUUUCUAUUUUGUAGCUUCCCAGUAUCAGAAAUGAUAGCUAUCAUAUUUCAUUUCGUUAUUUCAGUUAUCAAUUUUUCUUUCAUUUGUUCAAUUUCUAACAAAGAGUACCAUUUAUCUCCUUGCUUGAGCGAUGUUCUGCUCUUUUCAAAUUUUAGUAGGUGCAGGGAUUAUCUCUAAUGGAAUGCUUCAGGUUGCGACACAAUGAUGAAAUAGUCCACAUGGUUUGUCACGAGUUUUCCACAUGGAGCAAAGGAUUUUCUGUCGAUGAUGUCCAUUGACGAAGUGGUUCCCAGAGGUAGAGAGGCUGGUGGAAGAUGUUGUGUAGAGUGUCUCUGAAUGGGGGUUCGUCCGGCCGUCACUGCGGCUGGAGCUGCAGUGCGGGUACAUGGAGAUCAACGGGAAGGUAUCCAACGCAAAGACCCGGUUUAGCCUCAUGCAUGGAGGACAUGUACGUACUAACAUAAACAAGAUGACUAAGAGGUUCUCCGCUCUUCAUCUUAAAGUGACGGGGGUGGAUGCAUUGUGCGCCAUGAAGCAGAACAACUCCUCCAACAAGUGAACUAACUAAUUUACAUUGUAUUCUUUUUAUAGUUUAUUCAUGCCAAGUUCAAGGCCAAUCUGAACUUAUUUCUAAAAGCAGUUUCUGAACUCUGAAAUUGUGUGACCAGUGUUGAAGCAAUAUUA